UGGAUGAGGAGAAGCCCGCCCAGGCCUCCUCUGCCUCCUCCGCCCCCCGCGGAUGGACCUCAGGCUUCCACAGGAUGGGCAAAGAACCCCCAGGAUCCUGGGCUUCCCAUCGGUCUGGCCGACCCAGCUGGGUGGACACUGGGACCAGGAUUAACAUCCCAGCAUGAGGAGAGCGAUCGACGCUGGGACAAGGAUUAACCAUCCCAGCAUGGAUCGACGCUGGGACAAGGAUUAACCAUCCCAUCAUGUGGAUCGACGCUGGGACAAGGAUUAACCAUCUCAUCAUCGAUCGACGCUGGGACAAGGAUUAACCAUCCCAGCAUGGAUCGACGCUGGGACAAGGAUUAACCAUCCCAUCAUGUGGAUCGACGCUGGGACAAGGAUUAACCAUCUCAUCAUG